UACAGAGGUCUCAAGCGUUGUUCGGAUUCAUUGGGCGUAAAGGGUGCGUAGGCGGCGCGGUAAGUCGGGUGUGAAAGCCCUCAGCUCAACUGAGGAAGUGCGCCCGAAACUGCAGAGCUUGAGUGCCGGAGAGGGUGGCGGAAUUCCCCAAGUAGAGGUGAAAUUCGUAGAUAUGGGGAGGAAUACCGGUGGCGAAGGCGGCCACCUGGACGGUAACUGACGCUGAGACGCGAAAGCGUGGGGAGCAAACAGG
rnacentral:rRNA from 1 species